AUGAAAUUUGGGUUUAAUUGGAUUUUUCUUCUGACUAUUUUCCAAAGUGUCCAGUGUGAUGUGCAGCUAGUGGAGUCUGAGGGAGAUGUGAGACAACCUGGAGGUUCUCUGCCUCUCUCCUGCAAAGCUUCUGGAUUCACUUUCAGCGACUACUACAUGCAUUGGGUCCGCCAGGCUCCAGGGAAGGGACUGGAAUGGGUUGCAAAAAUUAGUGGUAGUGGUAGUACAUACUUUGCAGACUUUGUGAAAGAUUAA